CAGCCACAGAAUCCAGGAUCUAAAGGAGGAUAAAGGGUGUUCAGUGCUGCCUCUCGGAUCUUCUUUUACCCGGUUUCCUACAAAAAGGGAGAGGCUUUCCUUCUUCAUUCCUUUUUUUUAAGGCAGAAAAAGAGAGUUAGAGGAAAACAAGGGGGGCGUUUCCCCUCUUUUUCCCUCAGUGUGAUUUCCAGAUAUCGAGGAGGAAUUGACAGACUUCCAACAAUGGGGAUCUGGACUCUGCUUUAUACAAAUCCCCACCCUUCCCUCCAGCUCUCUCCUGCUGUAUGUUUAGCGUCGACCGGAGAGAAAAGAGAGGGGGAUGGGAGACGAGAGAGACGAGAGGAGGUGGAGGGAGAGAGGUGGAACGACCGUUUGCUCCCGUCUCGACCACGGGUAUUCUUGGGUUGAUAAUACAGAUGUCGAUGUUAUUGCUUGAGAAUACGCGUAGCUGAGCGGAAGCCAUCAUCGUCGACUGGAUGUUAAAACAUGACACAUUUAAAAGUGAAGAGCCUCCAAUGUGAUGAUGAUGAUGUUGAUGAAGUCCUGAGAUGAUAAUCUACCCAGCAGCCUCUGGAGGAAAGUAAGAUCCUUCCAAGCGUGCAUCACACACACGACUUGAAGCACUCUGAUGAUGUACAGAAUACUCACCUGCAAAUACUACGCUGUGUGUCUAGGGCUUUUAUUGUGAAAGGAACGAAGGGACAGAGUGGUAGCCUUGUGUCGUUGUGUUAUUUGUAAAUAUCAUUACGAAUAAAAUGUGGUUAUUUCUCAACGUGAUUUUUGCGUUAAUUGAAAGGAAUUCAUGACAAAAA